rnacentral:rRNA from 1 species
GCUGUUAAGGGUUCGUAGUUGAAUUGAGGGUGUUUCAAGUAGACGAUCCAGUCCUACCCUGCUCUCGGGUCAGUGACUCUCGCUCUUGGCACUCGUGAACGAUGGAAACAAAGACCACGGGAUCUGCUUCCCUCCAACUUUACUCGCACGCAAUGUGUGCAGUGUGGGGGGACGCCCGUGUUUUUACUGUGACUAAAAAAGCGCGACCAAAGCAGUCAUUCGACAUGAAUUUCAAAGCUGGGAUAACAACGAAGCAUCCUGCGGAUUAUCCGUUUCGGCUUUUGUUGGUUUUAACGUCUGUAGGAGACUAUGGGCCUGCACGACAAGCAAUUCGGGAGCUUCGGUUCCCUAUGCCUCUGGGGCGGCCUUGUGCUCAAGCCAGCUUGUGGGACUCAGGAAUGAAGGAGGGUUGUUCGGGGGGAACGUACUUGAGCGUGAGAGGUGAAAUUCUUAGACCGCUCAAAGACGAACUCAGCGAAGGCAUUCUCCAAGGAUACCUUCCUCAAUCAAGAACCAAAGUGUGGAGAUCGAGAUGAUUAGAGACCAUUGUAGUCC